rnacentral:pre_miRNA from 1 species
GGGGGGAGGCAGGAUCCUGGGCUGUGUCCCCGGCGCCCAGUGCUCUGGGGCCUGCGCUGUUGGAUUCACUCUCCCGCUGACGCAGCACCCU